GGAGAGGGAGGGUUACAGGGUAACUCAGCUGUGGCCACUGCUGUUGAGAACACUCCAAGAGAACAGGGCACCCCAGUGACUGAAGCCUCGAAGUCUUCAGUCCUGUGGCAGUGAGUGAAGCCAGGGAGGGAUAUGUGUACCCCUCCCCACAACAGGCUGGUUGUUCCUGGGUUCACAUCCACCCUCAGCCACAGGUACUUGGGACUUGGGGUGUUUGUUACAAGCUACUGCCCUCCUAUUUCUAUGGGAAAGCCCAAAUUUAAGUUGAUUUGGACUCUCUAAAAUCCUCACAGAAAAGGGUGAGAAACUGUGCUGGGCCCUGAUGUUUGUCAAGUGCUUCCUCUUGGUGACACCAGCCACAUUUCACCCACCACAAAGCUGCAGCUCCUAUUGUUGAAUCAUAGAGCCCUCUUACACCCUUCUAUACACACUGAUCCCGAGUACAAUCACCCCAAGAACCAUACAGAGUCAUGGGAUGAGGGUUGGCCCUGUGAGAAUAGGAACAGUGCCACACUAGUUGUUUCAGUGGGUCCCACCUCUAGGCCUCUGAAGCCUCGGCUACAAGGAUACUGCUGGGUAUUUAUAGCCAUCGAUAUAUGACCUGAUGUGUACAUAAUGGAGGUUCCUUUCUGGUCCCCUGUGGUCUGGCUACAGGCCAACCAAAUUCUCUGCUAUCUCUGGUCCAUGCCUAUGUUUAGUCCUUGUGUCUCUGUGUGAUAGAAACCCAGAUUGGCUAUUGAGUCUAAGUACAUCUUUCUCAAUAAAGCACUUCUAUUUAAUGUU
rnacentral:lncRNA from 1 species